GCCCUCGUGGCCUAAUGGCUAAGGCGCUUGGUUUCGAUUCUUCGAAAAAUCACUAAGAUUGUUACCCCAAGAGACUGCGCGUUCGAGUCGCGUCGGGGGCU